CCCGCCCGGUCUAGGCUUUGGGGUGCAUGGCGAGAGAAAAUGCUUUAUGCUAGAGAGCGCCGGCGGUCGAGAUUCCAGGAGCACAACGCCAGGCUCUUUGGAAACAGAAUACCUAUUGACUGAUUAUUCGUCCAGAAGCGCGCACGACAGGACUGGUUUUGUACCCUCGGUUAAAACUGCGAGGACGUGACCUCAGCCUUGUGAACUUGUGAAGGACCGAUGCGAAAGACCAGACAGGUCCCUGGAGCAAGGCCUGGCUUUGAUACACCUUUCAGAAAUGCAUGGAGGAAGAGGACUGAAGAGCCUGCUUGAGGUGCAUUCCAGCUAUGCCUGAGAUGAAGACACAGGCUGGAUUGUUCAAAAUGCAACCCCUGUCCAUUACAAGGUCCAGACGGAACGGGAGCAUCCUCUAUACAAUGCAAGAUAGCAAUAUAUUUCCUUGUUCAAAAAAAAGUGUGAAACAAGAAAAGAAACUAGAAAUAAACCCACUAUGCUUUUUGGACCUUGUUAUUGGCCUAAAUGAUAAAAAUUCAGGGAUCAAAAAGUUGGGACAGAGUUCAAAAGGAAGUCAGGAAAUAUGGCUUUACCAGGUCAUACCUUUAUUAUGUAACUUUGUUAUUUUUAGUGUUUAGUGUUACCAAGUUCCCAGAGUAGGUUUUAUACAUAACUAUACAUAUUUAGUUAUCUAUAUUCCUAUUCUCAUUUAUUCUGACAAAUUUUAACUCUGUCAUCAGAUGUGUAUCUUUUUGUUUUGAUAACAAGUUCCCAUUACUUCUUGUGGCUACUUGUGAUGGUUUACUUUUUUUUUGUAUUAAGGAACUUUGUCGUUCUAUUUGCAAAGUGCUCAUUUAACGUAAGAGCCUGACAUCUCCCAGCUAUUCUGAAGAGACACUGUCUAAAAACUAGCCAGACAAAACAGUCUUUACUUCCACUUUUGACGUUGUUUAUUAGUUCCCAAUGUUCUUUACAUUUUCAUUUAGAAGCCUCAUUCCAAACACAAAUGAGUAUGUCACAUCUUUGAAAGCAGAAAGGCUGUGGUUAAUUGAAACCAUUUACAGUUACCUUAGCAUUAGGUCUGGGGCUAAUUUCAAAGGGCCAAAUAUUGCACCUUUGUGGGCCAACCGGGGUCCCUAUUAGGUUAGCAGAGUAAUA